rnacentral:rRNA from 1 species
AGAUUGAACUGAAGAGUUUGAUCAUGGCUCAGAUUGAACGCUGGCGGCAGGCUUAACACAUGCAAGUCGAGCGGUAAC